GCCCUAGCGAGACUUCUUCAAGAAAGAUACGGUGAAGCAAACCUGCCAGAAACCCAGUUUGAAGAUUUCCAGGCAAAGGACGUGGAAGACAGUACCAUAAAUCCGUUUCCACUAUGGGGGACGCCUAUCGGUCGUGCUUCCAAGAAGAAGGUUCGAAAAUCAAAGAAGACGAAGGGGCUCCGCAAAACCGCCAGAUCAGGCGAUGUCUCGGU